CACCAAUUCAUAGGUUCAUCAGUUCUAGGAGCUGAAUAAGGUCAUUUGGCCCAUCCAGUCUACUCUGCCAUUCAAUCAUGGCUGAUCUAUCUUUCCUUCUCAACCCCAUUCUCCUGCCUUC